GACUCAUUUGAUAUUAUUUGCUGCUUAAGCACUCAGUGUUAGUGUCCCUGAGGCCUGCCUUGCACUACUUUCUCUAUCUAAAACAUUCACAUGCCUGUAACUGAAUUCGAGGAAAACAAAGCCUGGGGCUAGAUCUUCAGGAAACUUGAAUAGCUGGACCAUGAAGCCAUAAUAAAAUAGCUUCUAUCCAUCUGUUGACCAGUAAAGUACAUAGGAGGAAAUGAAUUACCUGCUUUAAGCUAGUCUUUGAAAACCCAAACAUAAUUUGAUGGAAAAUGCCACACUCAACUUCAGGUUAUCAGGGUUCAUCAGCUUGCAGGCAUGGCUUUAUUAAAAAUUAGGAGUCCAAAUGAUGUAUUUUGUUAUCAUAUCUAAACAUCCUGGCUGCUGCUCUGUAUCAGAUUCCCAUAAAAGUACAGAAAACUAAAUGAUAGAUUACUAUGUGGCUUAUUUUAUUUCUAACAGAAAAAUUCAAUUUCUGAGUAAUGCAUUUGUGGAAGUUGGCCUUGACAAAUAUACAAAUUAAAGAUAGAA